rfam:Ovis aries breed Texel chromosome 11, whole genome shotgun sequence.
UCCCUGGUGGUCCAGUGGCUAAGACUCCUCUCUCCCAGUGCAGGGGGCCCAGGUUCAAUCCCUGGUUAGGGAA